UAAAAAACAAUCAUGUGUUGGAACCUUGGUCGAACCGCCACGAAACUUACAGUAAAGAAACUACAGUUGGGACUAACUCUACUCUCGUCAUUAGAAAUAUUCAAACUCAAGAUGCUGCCCUCUAUACGUGUUCUGUAGAGAACUCAUUCGGAAAUGACAGCUGGAAUAUCAAGAUGAUUGUUAAUGAACCACCUCAGAGUCCAUCGGAUAUUGUUGUUGG